UACGUAGGGGGCAAGCGUUGUCCGGAAUCAUUGGGCGUAAAGAGCGUGUAGGCGGCCCGGUAAGUCCGCUGUGAAAGUCCAGGGCUCAACCCUGGGAUGCCGGUGGAUACUGUCGGGCUCGAGUCCGGAAGAGGAGUGUGGAAUUCCGUGGUGUGAGCGGUGAAAUGCGCAGAUAUCAGGAGGAACACCAAUGGCGAAGGCAGCACUCUGGGACGUGACUGACGCUGAGACGCGAAAGCGUGGGGAGCAAACAGGAUUAAGAUACCCGGUAGUAAGUCCG
rnacentral:rRNA from 1 species